ACUAUUCACUAUACUAAAACACUAUUCACUUACUUUAUUAAUAAAAUAUACAAUUAAAUAAAUAAUAAAUAAAAAGUUAAAUACAUAUAGUAUUAUAAAAUAACUUUUAGAAUAAAGUUUAGUGUUUUGGUUGGAGAAUGAACAUUUUUUUAGUGCUGAAACUAAACUAAAAUAGUGUUAUUUUGACAAUAUAAUAAUAUUAUGGAUUGGAGAUGGUAUUGCACCAUGAAAGAGAUAGAUGUUGUUAUGGUAAUUAUCAUGCGUUUGUGGGUCCUCUUUCUAUGAAACUCUUUCCGUUCUUUAGUGAUAGACUUUUUAGAAAAAAAAGUUUAAUUAGAAAAUGUAUUUUUGUGUUUUCUAUGAAAAAAUUGUAAACUUCAAGAAAAUUAACUGAUUUUAUUGAAUUACUAUUGGUUAAAAGUUAUUGAAAAUUGAAAAUUACAGAAAAUGAUAUAUUUAUGAUGAUAGUUUAAUGUGUUUUCUCAAUAUGUAUGAAAAUAUUAAAAAAUCUAUCUUUAUAGAACCGAUAAAGUAAUAUUUUAGCCACACUUUUUUAUGCUUGCUCACACUCAAUGCCUGAAAAUAGGAUGAAAUAGUAAAUUUUGUGGAAUAUACAAAUACGGUCAUUUUUAAUAACUAAAGAAGAAGAAAAACGUCUAUACAGUUGUCAAAUAAAAUUUUAACAAAUCAAAGAAACAAACAAUGUUGAAAAAGUUGUCAAAUGACAUUUCAACAAAAAAUUGACAAUGAUGCCUUAAAUAAAGUGGACUGGAACCUUUGAGAAACGAGUCUAAUGAAUAAUGAGAGGACAAAUCUAUACUAUACUAAAAGGAGAAUAAGAUGAGUGGUGAGAGUGUCCACGUCCUCACUUUAAAUCAGCCAAUGGGAUUGGUUCUUUUCUCCACGUGUACUCUCCAAUUUCUUCAUCUCACGUUUACAAAACUCUCGCUCUCUAGAUUAUUAACAAUUUGCAAAAGGCCUUUAACUAGCCCAAAACAUUUCCCGAAAAUCUGUACAGCCACGUCUUUCCAUCUUCUUCUACUCGCGAAACCCCAAAUUUCCUGCCGCUCCGGAUUUCUGGUGUAACUUUCUGCCUGAAUAAUUAAGCUUCAUCAAAUCUAUGUUAAUGGCUUCUGCAAUCAAAACCUACUCGCCGAUAGAAUUUCCAUGCCUUCACCCUAUAUAUAUAUCACUCUGUUACAGUCUACAAAAAAAUCCUUCACUUCCAUGACCAACAAAUCAGCAAUAUCAUCCUCCACAUUCACUACGCUAUGUUCUUCAGUUAUGUUCUUCUCGGCUUGGUAGAGGCAAAGCUUCUAUUUAGGAUCAUCCAUUUUUGGGAUCCCAGAGCACAGCGAGAGGAUACAUGCUUAUUGGUCUGGAUAUAAGGAGAGGAGGCGGAUUCAAAAUGCAUGUUCUUUCGACUACUGCAAAGAGAUUUCGUUUAUUUAUAGGAACUUCUAGCCGAAACAUGGAAGACCUUGAAAGUAUAUCGAAGGCUUGGUUCGAUUUUUGGAAAGAACGCUGAGGUGGAAACAUCUAGCUCCCAUUUCACAAACAACACCCGCAAUGAUACGACGGUUGACGCUUUCGACAGUUUUGUCUGCAAAAAUGGAGCCGGAAACCAUAUUCUGGGAGCUGUCUUUGUUGAUCUCGAGACCAUUGUCAUCUAUGAAAUCUACCGGGACUUACUAGCAGCUUUUCAAUCAUGAGUAACUUAUCUCUGGGAACAACUUCGCCAAUGUUGCAGUUGGAAAGGAGAUUGUGGACCUUUGUCUUAACAGUGUCAGAGAUCUUGCCGACAACUAUACAUGCUUGCAAGGGGUUAUUGGUCUUUAAUGCUGGUGGUGGAGUAACUGGUUCUGGUUUGGGAUAUCUGUUGUUAGAACCUUUGUCUGUAGAUUAAGGAAAUAAGUCGAAACUUGGAUCCACCAUAUAUCCUUCUCCUCAGGUUUGUACUGCUGUUAUAGGUACCUUACAACGGUGUUCUCUUGCUGCCUUCGCUACUUUAAAAAUCUCUCAUAUUUCCUAAAUUUUGCAAGCUCGGUGUUGCGGUUGUAGUGCGUUGAAGUUUGAGCUAAUGAUCUCCCUCAAAUGUCGGCAAAGAUUUUGACAGGGAUUCAUGUGGGCGAGAAAGUCUUAUUCCUAAGGAUUCAGUUAUUCGCAAAUGACAAUAUGCAUCCGUUCAUAUUCCAAAAGAGGCAAUACCACCAAUAAGAGUAUGUUAUGCACAGGUUGCCCUCAAUCUCCCAAGACCAGUUUGUAGGCAUGGUCAGUUGUUUGUGGCUCUCUCACGACUCACAAAGCCUGUGAGAAUAAAAAUACUUGAUAAUACGGAAGCUACAAGUAAGAUUUCACUUUCUAACAAUAUAACUUAAUAUAUCAGCCUGGCUUUUUAACAUACAUUGCAGGAAACAGCUUGGAUAGGAGUCCAGUUUCAUAACAACGACGAGCAAAACUACUCAUUGGGAAGACACCGAAACAGUCAAACACAUUGUUAGGAAUAGCUAUGUCUGAGACGCUUUGAAAUGUUAUAGAGAACUUGCAUAUUUUAGUUUAUUUACGAUAACGAAACAGAGCCACAAGUACGUGGUGAUGCAUUUUUUAUUAAGGAUAAGAAGGAUUAAAAUAUUAGACAGCUUAA